GGGUGUGGAGCGUGCGGGGGCCGCGCGCCACCUCUUCUCUCAGCGGCCGGACGGCUCUGCCGAGAAACGGCGGUGACAACGACGGCGGCGGUGAGGCCCUGUAACCCAGCUGAACUCCACAUCUGCAGAGCCCCAGCUUGAAGACAAAAGAUCAGAGAACUUGAGAAACCUGGGAACAGGGGCAUCUUUGGAGCUUUGCCUUUAUUCACAGAAGUCUGAAAGUACCAUCAAGUAGAAGUUGUGUCUUCGUCCUCUUCUGCUUACUGGGAAGAACAUGGCUUCAAGGAUUUUAAGUUUCCAUUUAGUUUUGCAUGAACUCUGUGGGAAACAGAGCCCUUAACAGGGUCAGGAGUAACAAGCAGAGACUGAAGACGGUCAGGUUUGCUCCGUUUUCCCUCCCCCUCCAAAGGAAAGGAUUUACAACUCAGCCCUGUAACAGCUGUUGUCCAGUGUUGGCCGUCAAGAGAGAAGUAAAUAAAGUUAAGCUGCCGGUGCCAGACUGCAGGGCCUGGUGAAGCCGUGUGGGCGUGGUGGCCUCGGGAGGCUGCGCAGGACAGGACUGCAGGCAGGGCAGCGGGG
rnacentral:lncRNA from 1 species